GCCUAACACAUGCAAGUCGAGCGGAAACGAGUUAUCUGAACUUUCGGGGAACGAUAACGGCGUCGAGCGGCGGACGGGUGAGUAAUGCCUAGGAAAUUGCCCUGAUGUGGGGGAUAACCAUUGGAAACGAUGGCUAAUACCGCAUAAUGCCUACGGGCCAAAGAGGGGGACCUUCGGGCCUCUCGCGUCAGGAUAUGCCUAGGUGGGAUUAGCUAGUUGGUGAGGUAAUGGCUCACCAAGGCGACGAUCCCUAGCUGGUCUGAGAGGAUGAUCAGCCACACUGGAACUGAGACACGGUCCAGACUCCUACGGGAGGCAGCAGUGGGGAAUAUUGCACAAUGGGCGCAAGCCUGAUGCAGCCAUGCCGCGUGUGUGAAGAAGGCCUUCGGGUUGUAAAGCACUUUCAGUCGUGAGGAAGGUGGUGUAGUUAAUAGCUCUAUUAUUUGACGUUAGCGACAGAAGAAGCACCGGCUAACUCCGUGCCAGCAGCCGCGGUAAUACGGAGGGUGCGAGCGUUAAUCGGAAUUACUGGGCGUAAAGCGCAUGCAGGUGGUUUGUUAAGUCAGAUGUGAAAGCCCGGGGCUCAACCUCGGAAUAGCAUUUGAAACUGGCAGACUAGAGUACUGUAGAGGGGGGUAGAAUUUCAGGUGUAGCGGUGAAAUGCGUAGAGAUCUGAAGGAAUACCGGUGGCGAAGGCGGCCCCCUGGACAGAUACUGACACUCAGAUGCGAAAGCGUGGGGAGCAAACAGGAUUAGAUACCCUGGUAGUCCACGCCGUAAACGAUGUCUACUUGGAGGUUGUGGCCUUGAGCCGUGGCUUUCGGAGCUAACGCGUUAAGUAGACCGCCUGGGGAGUACGGUCGCAAGAUUAAAACUCAAAUGAAUUGACGGGGGCCCGCACAAGCGGUGGAGCAUGUGGUUUAAUUCGAUGCAACGCGAAGAACCUUACCUACUCUUGACAUCCAGAGAACUUUCCAGAGAUGGAUUGGUGCCUUCGGGAACUCUGAGACAGGUGCUGCAUGGCUGUCGUCAGCUCGUGUUGUGAAAUGUUGGGUUAAGUCCCGCAACGAGCGCAACCCUUAUCCUUGUUUGCCAGCGAGUAAUGUCGGGAACUCCAGGGAGACUGCCGGUGAUAAACCGGAGGAAGGUGGGGACGACGUCAAGUCAUCAUGGCCCUUACGAGUAGGGCUACACACGUGCUACAAUGGCGCAUACAGAGGGCAGCAAGCUAGCGAUAGUGAGCGAAUCCCAAAAAGUGCGUCGUAGUCCGGAUUGGAGUCUGCAACUCGACUCCAUGAAGUCGGAAUCGCUAGUAAUCGUGGAUCAGAAUGCCACGGUGAAUACGUUCCCGGGCCUUGUACACACCGCCCGUCACACCAUGGGAGUGGGCUGCAAAAGAAGUAGGUAGUUUAACCUUCGGGAG
rnacentral:rRNA from 1 species